CUAUUAGACUGAAUACAAAAAACAGAGAGCAGUUGCCUGUAUAAAUACAUAAAAAGAUGGGAGUUGCCUUACCAACUGUGAGGUCAGUCUAUCGAGAUAAUUCACUUAACAGCAGGAUACCAAAGGAGAAAAAAUAACUUUUGAAGU